CCUACGGGAGGCAGCAGUGAGGAAUAUUGGUCAAUGGGCGCAAGCCUGAACCAGCCAUGCCGCGUGCAGGAAGACGGUCCUAUGGAUUGUAAACUGCUUUUAUUUGGGAAUAAACCUAUUUACGUGUAGAUAGCUGAAGGUACCAAAUGAAUAAGCACAGGCUAACUCCGUGCCAGCAG
rnacentral:rRNA from 1 species